rnacentral:rRNA from 1 species
UGGGGAAUAUUGCACAAUGGGCGCAAGCCUGAUGCAGCAACGCCGCGUGAGGGACGACGGCCUUAGGGUUGUAAACCUCUUUUAGUAGGGAAGAAGCGAAAGUGACGGUACCUGCAGAAAAAGCACCGGCUAACUACGUGCCAGCAGCCGCGGUAAUACGUAGGGUGCGAGCGUUGUCCGGAAUUAUUGGGCGUAAAGAGCUCGUAGGCGGUCUGUCGCGUCUGCUGUGAAAACCCGAGGCUCAACCUCGGGCCUGCAGUGGGUACGGGCAGACUAGAGUGCGGUAGGGGAGAAUGGAAUUCCUGGUGUAGCGGUGGAAUGCGCAGAUAUCAGGAGGAACACCGAUGGCGAAGGCAGUUCUCUGGGCCGUAACUGACGCUGAGGAGCGAAAGCGUGGGGAGCGAACAGGAUUAGAUACCCUGGUAGUCCACGCCGUAAACGUUGGGCGCUAGAUGUGGGGACCAUUCCACGGGUUUCCGUGUCGGCAGCUAACGCAUU